GAAACCGACACUUCCUGCUUUGCGAGUUUUUGCACUAAGGAGAAAUGUCUCUCUUUUCAACAUCUUUGCUUAAUUUGCCAAUCUUUUCUUUCACUGCUGAGGAGGAAAUCGCAGCGGCGAAUUCUCGAACUAAUAAACUUAAAAGGAUAAAAGUUCUUCCUUGAAGAAGAUCUCCACAGCUAUCAAGACUGCCCACUACUCCCAACUCCAGCUGCCAACUGGUCCUCCUGUACUGGCCCGCACAAGAGAUUUACAAAGAAGGCACAGACAAAGAACACAGGGAAUCCAUCCUGAACCUGCCAGCGAGGUGGUGGUGCGAAAGCCCAAAACUGUGGUGAAAAGAUGUUUGCACU